AGACCGAUAGCGAACAAGUAGAGUGAUCGAAAGAUGAAAAGCACUUUGAAAAGAGGGUUAAAUAGCACGUGAAAUUGUUAAAAGGGAAGGACUUAUGAGCAGACUUUUUCUAGGCGGAUCAUCCGGUGUUCUCACCGGUGCACUUCGCCUAGUCGAGGCCAGCAUCAGUUUUCGGAGGGGGAUAAAAGCUUUAGGAAUGUGGCUCCCUCGGGAGUGUUAUAGCCUAUUGCAUAAUACCCUUCUGGGGACUGAGGUACGCGCUUCUGCAAGGAUGCUGGCGUAAUGCUCAUCAGUCACCCGUCUUGAAACACGGACCAAG
rnacentral:rRNA from 1 species